AACUUUUAGCAACGGAUCUCUUGGUUCUCGCAUCGAUGAAGUACGCAGCGAAUUGCGAUAUGUAAUGUGAAUUGCAGAAUUCAGUGAAUCAUCGAAUCUUUGAACGCACCUUGCACCCUUUGGUAUUCCGAAGGGUAUGCCUGUUUGAGUGUCAUUAAAUUCUCAACUUCAUAUAUUUGAAGCUUGGAUUAUGGAGGUUAUUUGCCGGCGUCAUUGUCAGCUCCUCUUAAAUGCAUUAGCGGAACUUUUGAAAGGGACCAGCAAUUGGUUUGAUAAAUCCUAUCUAGCCAAGCAUUGCUACCUUUAUUAUGAUCUGCUUCUAAUGGUCUUUGGACUGUCUCUAUGAGGCAUAGAAAAAUUUAAACUUGACCUCAAAUCAGGUAGGAUUACCCGCUGAAUUUAAGCAUAUCAAUAAGCGGAGGCU
rnacentral:misc_RNA from 1 species